GGUCAAACGCCAUAUUCCGCCUUCUACUUCUACUUCUGGUUCUACUUCUGCUUUUACUUCUACCUUUUCUUCUGGAAAACCCUACUAUAUACAAUUCUACUACAACGGCUGUGGCUACAAGCUCUCCCUACCUGUGCACAGUUUUUAUGUUUUUUGUGUGUAUUUUUGCGUGUUGUUCGUCUGUACCGGACUUCAAUAUCCACUACAACCGUAUGGACUUACUGGACAUUGGUUUCCAGCAGAAAAUGACGCAAUUCCAGCAGGUCCGAGCAGCAGCCCUCCUACAAACGCACUUCCUCCUGCCACCACCGCUCCUUUCCCAGAACUCCUCACUGCUGCCUUCAUCUGCUGAUUGGAUGAAACCUCACAGCACAUCCGUAUGACAUCACCAACCUGCUCCAUCACCACACGCAGCCUGGAGAUAAAAACAACAACACAGCCGUGAUUAACACAACUCACUGAGCUUUAUUAUCAUUAUUAUUAUUAUUAUUAUUAUUAUUAUUAUUAUUAUUGAGUUGUUGUUAAGUUACCUUUCUUCAAACUGCAAAGUUUAGAAAUAAAGAAAUGAUUUUUCUCAA